rnacentral:rRNA from 1 species
GACAGAGGGUGCAAACGUUGUUCGGAAUUACUGGGCGUAAAGCGCGUGUAGGCAGCUCGGAAAGUCGGAUGUGAAAGCCCUAGGCUCAACCUAGGAAGUGCAUUCGAAACUUCUGAGCUUGAGUGUCGGAGAGGAAGGCGGAAUUCUCGGUGUAGAGGUGAAAUUCGUAGAUAUCGAGAGGAACACCUGUGGCGAAGGCGGCCUUCUGGACGACAACUGACGCUGAGACGCGAAAGCGUGGGGAGCAAACAGU